AUUGAACGCUGGCGGCAGGCCUAACACAUGCAAGUCGAGCGGAUGAAGGGAGCUUGCUCCUGGAUUCAGCGGCGGACGGGUGAGUAAUGCCUAGGAAUCUGCCUGGUAGUGGGGGAUAACGUCCGGAAACGGGCGCUAAUACCGCAUACGUCCUGAGGGAGCAAGUGGGGGAUCUUCGGACCUCACGCUAUCAGAUGAGCCUAGGUCGGAUUAGCUAGUUGGUGGGGUAAAGGCCUACCAAGGCGACGAUCCGUAACUGGUCUGAGAGGAUGAUCAGUCACACUGGAACUGAGACACGGUCCAGACUCCUACGGGAGGCAGCAGUGGGGAAUAGUAGACAAUGGGCGAAAGCCUGAUCCAGCCAUGGCGCGUGUGUGAAGAAGGUCUUCGGAUUGUAAAGCACUUUAAGUUGGGAGGAAGGGCAGUAAGUUAAUACCUUGCUGUUUUGACGUUACCAACAGAAUAAGCACCGGCUAACUUCGUG
rnacentral:rRNA from 1 species